CGAGGUUUCGAGGCCGUUUUGUACUUUUUCACCCUGUGCCCCUUUCUGGGGCUUGUAAUCUUUCUUGUGUGAUGUUACGGUCGUGUACGGUGGUUUGCAUUUAUCUACGUUGUGCUUACCCUGCCCUUAAGACAUUGGAUAGCUUCGGUUACCGUGGAUUUAAUACCGGAUUUACAUCACUAGACACAGGUCCUUUGUUGAUCUAUACGUCCGGUGGUCUUAAGAUGGACUCUGCGUCCCAUUAGCUAUUUGGUAAGGUAACGUCCUACCAAAGGCGUACGAUGGUAACCGGCCUGAGAGGUGAACGGCCACAUUGGAACUGAGAUACGGUCCAAACUCCUACGGGUAGUCAUCAGUGGGGAAUAUUGCACAAUGGGGGAUAACCCUGAUGCAGCGACCCGCGUGAACGAAGAAGGCUUUCGAGUCGUAAUAGUUCUUUUAUAUGGGAAGUAUAAUGACGGUACCAUAAGAAUAAGCCCCGGCUAACUACGUGCCAGCAGCCGCGGUAAUACGUAGGGGGCUAGCGUUGUCCGGAAUCACUGGGCGUAAAGGGUUCGCAGGCGGAAAUGCAAGUCAGGUGUAAAAGGCAGUAGCUUAACUACUGUAAGCAUUUGAAACUGCAUAUCUUGAGAAGAGUAGAGGUAAGUGGAAUUUUUAGUGUAGCGGUGAAAUGCGUAGAUAUUAAAAAGAAUACCGGUGGCGAAGGCGACUUACUGGGCUCAUUCUGACGCUGAGGAACGAAAGCGUGGGUAGCAAACAGGAUUAGAUACCCUGGUAGUCCACGCUGUAAACGAUGAGUGCUAGGUGUCGGCGUAAGUCGGUGCCCAGUUAACACAAUAAGCACUCCGCCUGGAGAGUACUGCCAAGCA
rnacentral:rRNA from 1 species